rnacentral:rRNA from 1 species
AUGUUAAUAGCAUAUUCAUUUGACGUUAGCUGCAGAAGAAGCACCGGCUAACUCCGUGCCAGCAGCCGCGGUAAUACGGAGGGUGCGAGCGUUAAUCGGAAUUACUGGGCGUAAAGCGCAUGCAGGUGGUUUGUUAAGUCAGAUGUGAAAGCCCGGGGCUCAACCUCGGAAUUGCAUUUGAAACUGGCAAACUAGAGUACUGUAGAGGGGGUAGAAUUUCAGGUGUAGCGGUGAAAUGCGUAGAGAUCUGAAGGAAUACCGGUGGCGAAGGCGGCCCCCUGGACAGAUACUGACACUCAGAUGCGAAAGCGUGGGGAGCAAACAGGAUUAGAUACCCUCGGUAG